AGCUUUCAGUUGCCACUUCAGAGGGGCAAAGUCCGAAUACUUCUUAGGAAUUAUAACCCUGAUUGUUCCAGGCUGUUUCUCGGACAUUCACGUGUUUCCCUUAACUGGAGAAGACACCGCGGUGCAGUCGCCUCCCUUCUGGGACUGGAAGAUGAGAUAUUUUAGCGAUAAAGAAUGGCAAUCCAGCCUGAGAUGAGUUUCCCCGCUGUGGUGCAUCUCUUGAAUUUUAAACACAAGCUGUGUUUCUUCAAUCCUCAAGUUUAGUAGAAGUGACUGGCCCCUGAUUCCGAAUGCAUAUGUAUCCAAAGGCAGUAGAAAUGUGUGUGUGACCAAGAGUCAAGUUCUGAGCUUCUAUAAGAGGGAUGAGUGACUAGAAGUGACAAUGAACUCUUCUUCACCAAGGUGCUUCACGGGGCUGCCUUCUGGGAACCUUCAGUUGUGCAUUAGGCAAACAUUACAAAAGCACUGAUAAAAUUCUAAGUAAAAGGCAAGGAAAACCAUUCAUGAUUCCAUCGCCCCAAGAACAGUCAAGCUGUUUGCAGAUUUUCCUCACUCUCUUUUGCUCAGAGCCACGUGAAUAUACAACGUCACUGGCAUAAUUACAGCAGAGAGACAUUUUGCAUCCAUUUAUUCCCCUUGCACAUCAUAUGAGCCCUGAGCCAACUUCUAAGAAGUUUUCUGCCCUAAAGCCACAGUGCUGGAGAGAGAGAGAGAGGAUGUGCCAAGAAUACACAGCCAUAGAGGUGCCCUGGGACGCCACGAGUCCUCCCAGCAUGUACCAUGGACACGAGAGGGAGCUUUCAGAUGAUUCCAUGUUCCAGCCUUGAAGAUGCUCCAGCCAAUACCCAGUGGAACAGGGAUAAGUUGAUCCCACCAAGCUUUACCUCAAAUGCAGAUUCAGGAGCAAAAUAAAUGUUGUUGGUUUAAAUCACUAAGCUCAGGCUGCUUAGUCACACAGUCACCCAGUAAUGAGUGGAACACAUUUAACUUGCAGGUGGGGACUUCUUCAACCCCAUCCAUUUGCAUAUAUUGCAAACAUUUCCCAAAAUGCCUGGGCUUUCAAGUUACCCUUCCCUGGUUCAUAUGAUAUUUUCUUUAAUAUAUUUUUUAUUUCUUAUUCAUAUAAAAAUAUUUUUUUAUUCUCAUUGCUCAUUUUAUUAAAAUUGUAGGUAAAGAGGAAAA
rnacentral:lncRNA from 1 species